UCCGGCUUAUCACCGGCAGUCCCUCUAGAGUGCCCAACUAAAUGAUGGCAACACAGGACAGGGGUUGCGCUCGUUGCGGGACUUAACCCAACAUCUCACGGCACGAGCUGACGACAGCCAUGCACCACCUGCGCAGAAGUCCCUUGCGGAGUAACGGUGUUUCCACCGUCGUUGAGAAGCCGUUCGAGCCCAGGUAAAGUUCUUCGCGUUGCGUCGAAUUGAACCACAUGCUCCACCGCUUGUGCGGGCCCCCGUCAAUUCCUUUGAGUUUCAGCCUUGCGACUGUACUCCCCAGGCGGCAUAUUUAACGCGUUAGCUCCGGCACAGAUCAACUGAAUGACCUACACCAAAUAUGCAUCGUUUAGGGCGUGGACUAC
rnacentral:misc_RNA from 1 species